AGGGCGAGCGGAGAUCCUGAGUACGGCGGGACACGAGAAAUCCUGUCGGAAGCAUCGGGGACCAUCCCGAAAGGCUAAAGACUACUGCGUGACCGAUAGCGAACCAGUACCGUGAGGGAAAGGUGAAAAGAACCCCGGGAGGGGAGUGAAAGAGAACCUGAAACCAUAUGCCUACAAGAAGUCAGAGCCCGUCAAAGGGUGAUGGCGUGCCUUUUGUAGAAUGAGCCGGCGAGUUGCUUUUUCAGGCGAGGCUAAGCAGGAUAUGCGGAGCCGAAGCGAAAGCGAGUCUUAAGAGGGCGAGCAGUCUGAAGGAGCAGACCCGAAACCGGGUGAUCUAGCCAUGGACAGGUUGAAGUCGGGGUAAGACCCGAUGGAGGACCGAACCGACCCCCGUUGAAACGUUGGCGGAUGAUCCGUGGCUAGAGGUGAAAUUCCAAACGAACCCGGAGAUAGCUGGUUCUCCCCGAAAUAGCUUUAGGGCUAGCGUCGCGAGACGGCAUGCGAAGGUAGAGCACUGAAUAUGCGAUGGCCUCAUCCCGAGGUACUGAGCAUAAUCAAACUCCGAAUGUCGCACGUCCAGUCGCGGCAGUCAGUCCGCGGGUGAUAAGGUCCGCGGACAAGAGGGAAACAGCCCAGACCAUCAGCUAAGGUCCCAAAGUGCAUGCUAAGUGGAAAAGGAAGUGGAGACGUGCAGACAACUAGGAGGUUGGCUCAGAAGCAGCCAUCCUUCAAAGAGUGCGUAACAGCUCACUAGUCGAAUGACUCUGCGCCGAUAAUUUACCGGGGCUAAGCAUGACACCGAAGCUAUGGAUUCGAAUGAAUGGUAGGGGAGCGUUCCAUGCGGCGAAGAAGCGCGACCGAGAGGGCGCGAGGAGCGCAUGGAAGAGAGAAUGCCGGCGUGAGUAGCGAGACGUGGGUGAGAAUCCCACGCACCGAUGGCCCAAGGUUUCCAGAGGAAGGUUCGUCCGCUCUGGGAGAGUCGGGACCUAAGGAGAGGCCGAAAGGCGUAUCCGAUGGACGACGGGUGGAGAUUCCCGUACCCCAUCGAGAGCGAGGGAGUGACGGAGACGGCAGGAGCGACCGGCUGACGGAAUAGCCGGGGCAAGCGAAGCAGCCGCGCAGCAGGCAAAUCCGCUGCGCA
rnacentral:rRNA from 1 species